AACGAACGCUGGCGGCAUGCCUAACACAUGCAAGUCGAACGAGACCUUCGGGUCUAGUGGCGCACGGGUGCGUAACGCGUGGGAACCUGCCCUUAGGUUCGGAAUCACUCCCCGAAAGGGGUGCUAAUACCGGUUAAUGUCUUCGGACCAAAGAUUUAUCGCCUUUGGAUGGGCCCGCGUUGGAUUAGCUAGUUGGUAGGGUAAAAGCCUACCAAGGCGACGAUCCAUAGCUGGUGUGAGAGGAUGAUCAGGCACACUGGGACUGAGACACGGCCCAGACUCCUGCGGGAGGCAGCAGUGGGGAAUAUUGGACAAUGGGCGACAGACUGAUCCAGCCAUGCCGCGUGAGUGAUGAAGGCCUUAGGGUUGUAAAUCUCUUUUACCCGGGAUGAUAAUGACAGUAACGGGAGAAUAAGCUCCGGCUAACUCCGUG
rnacentral:rRNA from 1 species